rnacentral:rRNA from 1 species
UACGUAGGCAGCGAGCGUUGUUCGGAGUUACUGGGCGUAAAGGGUGUGUAGGCGGUUCUUUAAGUUUGGUGUGAAAUCUCCCGGCUCAACCGGGAGGGUGCGCCGAAUACUGAGGGACUAGAGUGCGGGAGAGGAAAGUGGAAUUCCUGGUGUAGCGGUGAAAUGCGCAGAUAUCAGGAAGAACACCCGUGGCGAAGGCGGUUCUCUGGGACGGUACUGACGCUGAGACGCGAAAGCGUGGGGAGCGAACAGG